GGAGAGGUGGAUGAGCGGUUUAAGUCGCACGCCUGGAAAGCGUGUUUAGGAUAAUAUCCUAACGGGGGUUCGAAUCCCCCCCUCUCCGCCA
rnacentral:tRNA from 4 species